UGGGUAAUUCUAAGGAUUGGUCUGUAGUGGGAGAGGAGCUGAAGAAACAAAAGAUUGAACGCAAUGCACACACAGGAGCCAGCGUUAAGAGGAAGCUGUAAGAGGAAGCUGAAGCCACAAGUAGGGGUGAAAUAAACACCAUCAGUCAGAGGGCAAGGUAUCAUAUGAAACUGGGAAAGAGAAACAGGCAUAUGAACAUCUCUCUCUCUCUCUCUCCCUUUCUCUCUCUCUCUCUCUCUCUCUCUCUCUCUCUCUCUCACACACACACACACAUACAAUCCAUCCCAAAUGUUGCUCAUUUAGAAAAAAAAGUCAGCUGACUUAAACUGCUCAGUUCCCAAGCCUCCCCAAGGGUUGAAGGAUGUUGUUUAAACUCGAGGAUGAGCCAGCUUCACUAUGUGGAGGAACACAGUUUGCAUUCCUUU
rnacentral:lncRNA from 1 species